rnacentral:misc_RNA from 1 species
CGCACAUUGCGCCCGCCAGUAUUCUGGCGGGCAUGCCUGUUCGAGCGUCAUUUCAACCCCUCGGGCCCACGGGCCCGGCGUCGGGGCAUCUCCCGCGAGGGAGGCCCCCAGAGACAGUGGCGGACCCGCCGCGGCUCCGAGCGCAGUAGUAAAAUUCUCGCUAUGGAGGUCCGCGGGGGGGCACCCGGCCGUAAAACCCAGCCCUCACGGGCUAACUUCUCAAGGUUGACCUCGGAUCAGGUAGGAAUACCCGCUGAACUUAA